rnacentral:rRNA from 1 species
GAUCAUGGCUCAGGAUGAACGCUAGCGACAGGCCUAACACAUGCAAGUCGAGGGGCAGCGGAGAGGUAGCAAUACCUUUGCCGGCGACCGGCGCACGGGUGAGUGACACGUAUGCAAUCCACCUGUAACAGGGGGAUAACCCGGAGAAAUCCGGACUAAUACCCCCAUAAUAUGGGCGUUCCGCAUGGAGAGCUCAUUAAAGNGAGCAAUUUUGGUUACAGACGAGCAUGCG